rnacentral:rRNA from 1 species
UCCUACGGGAGGCAGCAGUGGGGAAUCUUCCGCAAUGGGCGCAAGCCUGACGGAGCAACGCCGCGUGAAUGAAGAAGGUCUUCGGAUCGUAAAGUUCUGUUCUUAGGGAAGAAGUCUUAGGUUGUGAAUAAUGACUUAAGGUGACGGUACCUAUGGAGAAAGCUCCGGCUAACUACGUGCCAGCAGCCGCGGUAAUACGUAGGGAGCGAGCGUUGUCCGGAAUUACUGGGUGUAAAGGGAGCGCAGGCGGGAAGCCAAGUCAGCUGUGAAAACUACGGGCUUAACUUGUAGA